rnacentral:rRNA from 1 species
AGUCGAACGAGAAAGUUUUGAAUGAUCCUUCGGGUGAAAUUAGAACUGGAAAGUGGCGAACGGGUGAGUAACGCGUGGGUAACCUGCCCUAUGGAAAGGAAUAGCCUCGGGAAACUGGGAGUAAAGCCUUAUAUUAUGGUUUUGUCGCAUGGCAAGAUCAUGAAAACUCCGGUGCCAUAGGAUGGACCCGCGUCCCAUUAGCUAGUUGGUGAGAUAACAGCCCACCAAGGCGACGAUGGGUAACCGGUCUGAGAGGGCGAACGGUCACACUGGAACUGAGACACGGUCCGGACUCCUACGGGAGGCAGCAGUGGGGAAUAUUGCGCAAUGGGGGCAACCCUGACGCAGCAAUACCGCGUGAGUGAAGAAGGUUUUCGGAUCGUAAAGCUCUGUUAUUGGGGAAGAAAACAUGACGGUACCCAAUGAGGAAGUCCCGGCUAACUACGUGCCAGCAGCCGCGGUAAUACGUAGGGGACAAGCGUUGUCCGGAAUGACUGGGCGUAAAGGGCGCGUAGGCGGUCUAUUAAGUCUGAUGUGAAAGGUACCGGCUCAACCGGUGAAGUGCAUUGGAAACUGGUAGACUUGAGUAUUGGAGAGGCAAGUGGAAUUCCUAGUGUAGCGGUGAAAUGCGUAGAUAUUAGGAGGAACACCAGUGGCGAAGGCGGCUUGCUGGACAAA